GACGACGCUGGCGGCGUGGAUUAGGCAUGCGAGUCGAACGGUAUCAUCCUUUCGGGGGUGAGAGAGUGGCGAACUGGUGAGUAACACGUAGGUUAUCUACCCUCAAGACGGGACAACCCAGGGAAACUUGGGCUAAUACCGGAUGUGAGCAACUUUUAGUUGUUUGAAAGGUGGCGUAAGCUGUCGCUUGGGGAUGAGCCUGCGUCCUAUUAGUUAGUUGGUGAGGUAACGGCUCACCUAGGCAAUGAUAGGUAGGCGGCCUUAACGGGUGGUCGCCCACACUGGGAUUGAGAUACGGCCCAGACUCCUACGGGAGGCAGCAGUCGAGAAUAGUCUACAAUGGUCGGAAGACUGAUAGUGCGACGCCGCGUGAACGAUGAAUCCCUUCGGGGUGUAAAGUUCUUUUAUAUGUGAGCAGUGCUUCUUAUAUUAACAGUAUGGGGAGAGAGAUAUUAGCAUAUGAAUAAGCAACGGCUAACUCCGUG
rnacentral:rRNA from 1 species